rnacentral:lncRNA from 1 species
GUGUUUCCAAGCGCGUGAAUGAGAGCGCGUUCUUUGGUAUUUUUCUCCGGGAAAGACAAUAACAAUUCUCCGUCUUAAAUUGUAUCGUUUAUUUACGUAUUAGGGUACCUAAGGUUUGAUUAUAAACGUUGUUUUACUUGUUUGGAAAAGUUUAUUAGUAAUGUUUGGGAUUCAUUUUGUAUGCAUUUUGAUGGAGGGAAACUGGGUGGAUUAUUGACUGAAGCACACCAACUAAACUGAGUUUUUAUGAAUAUAAAGUAGGACAUUAUCGAACAAAAGGACAAUUUGUGAUGUAACUGGGACCUUUUGGAGUGCCAACAGAAGAAGAUCAAAGUUGAGGAGGUUGGAUGGUAUUCCAGUGGCACAGAUGGGAAGAGAGGUAUUCUGAUCCUGACCCACUUCUACCAGAACACCAAGGACAAUGACCCAACACACCUCCAGGCUGUGUAAGGGGUAUUUUACCAAGAAGGAGAGUGAUGGAG